UUAACCNUAGUAUGCUUUGGAAACUGUUUAACUUGAGUGCAAGAGGGGAGAGUGGAAUUCCAUGUGUAGCGGUGAAAUGCGUAGAUAUAUGGAGGAACACCGGUGGCGAAAGCGGCUCUCUGGCUUGUAACUGACGCUGAGGCUCGAAAGCGUGGGGAGUAAACAGGAUUAGAUACCCUGGUAGUNCACGCCGUAAACGAUGAGUGCUAGGUGUUAGACCCUUUCCGGGGUUUAGUGCCGCAGCUAACGCAUUAAGCACUCCGCCUGGGGAGUACGACCGCAAGGUUGAAACUCAAAGGAAUUGACGGGGGCCCGCACAAGCGGUGGAGCAUGUGGUUUAAUUCGAAGCAACGCGAAGAACCUUACCAGGUCUUGACAUCCCUCUGACCGCUCUAGAGAUAGAGCUUUCCUUCGGGACAGAGGUGACAGGUGGUGCAUGGUUGUCGUCAGCUCGUGUCGUGAGAUGUUGGGUUAAGUCCCGCAACGAGCGCGACCCCUAUUGUUAGUUGCCAUCAUUUAGUUGGGCACUCUAGCGAGACUGCCGGUAAUAAACCGGAGGAAGGUGGGGAUGACGUCAAAUCAUCAUGCCCCUUAUGACCUGGGCUACACACGUGCUACAAUGGCUGGUACAACGAGUCGCAAGCCGGUGACGGCAAGCUAAUCUCUUAAAGCCAGUCUCAGUUUGGAUUGUAGGCUGCAACUCGCCUACAUGAAGUCGGAAUCGCUAGUAAUCGCGGAUCAGCACGCCGCGGUGAAUACGUUCCCGGGCCUUGUACACACCGCCCGUCACACCACGAGAGUUUGUAAC
rnacentral:rRNA from 1 species